ensembl:lncRNA
AAAUUACAGUUGUCUGAGAAGUGGAUAUCCUCAUAUUUUCAGUUCUGUCCUUUAUCUAGCGAUUGCAGGUCCUACAGCAGAACACUGUGAUAGAGUGUGGAUCCACAUCAGAACACACUCAUUGAAAUGUUCACAUUUAGUUUGAAUUACUCUCAACAGCGACUAAAGAUCACUGGAAUAGAUAAGGUAUGAAUGUGAAAAGAUUUAAACGUCUGUUCGGGAUGAAGUACAACCAGAGAAGCAUUUGUCACCUUUGCUACAAAUCUUAAGAUGCAGUUCCAGCCAUUUAAUUUCCCUUACCUAUAGAGGACAUUUUCAAAUAACGAGAAGUAAAUUCAGCAAAUGAAUUAAACUCGAAGAUACCCAGGUGCUGAGAAGAAAAUGAAGAUUUCUUUCCUGAGGUUUUGCUAACGUUUUUUUAUGAACAGAUAGUUACAGCUGAACAAGUGACAUCUCAAAACACGAGAUUUCAUCAAUCUUCUUCAACAGAGGAUCGAAAAUAUGAAUCACAUUACCAACAGACUGGAAUUUGUAUUAAAUGUAUCAAUAAGCAGUGUGCUCACAUCAUGACUGCUUGCCAGAAGGCUUGUAUUCUCAAUGAUGAACUACAAUUUUUCCCAUCAGUAAGUCAAAAGCUGGAGCCAUUCAGCAUUAUAUCAUUUGAGCCCAGACAUCCAUUAACACAUUUAGAGACAUGGGCACACAGCUCCAGUAUACUGUGAUUACUACCAGAUAAUCUGUUCCUAGUCUCUCUUCAAAGUUAAGGAUAUAGAUAAUAACUGAACUCAAGAAUAAACUAGGAAUACAAGACCAGCAUCUUAAAGCGACAGUUUGCUUUAAUGUACGCAUGACAAAGUAUAUAAAAAGCAAAUUAAUUUUUAGUGUUUUGUGACAACAUUUUUCUUUGGGUAACUUCAUGGAAUUCACUGGUUAGGACGUUAAUCUUGGAACAAAACUAAAUAUCUCUGCUUGUUACCUAAAUAAAGUAGCAACACCAGAAAUAAAAGUGGCAUUUGUGAUUGAAAUCAUGCUUUUUAUGUUAAUUCAGCUACAGAAGUACUCUCUGCAUGUCACACUCUGCCAAGUUUGUAUUUUACUUAAAAAUGAAUGUAGGUUAUAUGUUGAUUUUAUUUAAAUAAUAGUGAUGAUGAUGAUAACAAUGACGAUGACAACAAUGAUAAGACACUGAUGAUAAAAACAACAACAACAUCAGACCUUUCUCAUAACUUUUUUAUUUGUGUUACCACAACAACUCUUUAUUCUGUUACCUUAACAACUCUUAACAAGUUGUUACUGGGAUGUAAAGUGAUAUAACUUCUCACUAGUUGCAUCCAAUUACACAGACAUAAUUUCCAUAGAUCUUUGGGAUCAAAUGAUUUUUCCAAAAUUUAUUUCCCAAACUGUGUUGAAGUGCUUCCUCCACAAGGUUUUACUGAUCCCUGUGUUGAUGCAUCAGAAUUCAGAUUUGCUGCUGGAACAGGAGUAAUAUACAACUUUAAAAAUUAAUCUUAAGUUUUGGUGAGUAUAGUAAAUAUAUAGAGUAUAUAGGAGAGCAAGAAAAAUAAUUCCCUAAUUCUGAAGAACUUUCAGAGUGUCAGCUUGGAUCUGUACUUCAUGCUGCCAGUCUUCCUCCAUUAAUACAGAGAGAGAAGCACUUUAUUUGACCUGAUAAUCAGAAAUUGUAGGUGAUCAAAGUGAAACUGGCAGGACAUUGGUAAGGCACCAUCUUUAAAAUUUGUCAGUAUCUUUUCACUGAAAGAUUAGAGGUAAAUAUUAACAUCCCAAACCUCUGACUUCACCAUUUACCAUUACAAACAUCUGAGCUGAAACUAGCUAUGAAAAAAUAGCAAUGAUGGUUCUACUGAAUAACAGAAUUUUCAAAACUUACUGAGAAGACUGCAAAAUAAGUUGUAUUUUCCUUUCAUUCUCCUAGUUUGUUGUUUGUGUGUUUUUUUUUCCUGUAAUAAAUACACGCAGAAUUGACAGAUCACAUU